AACGAACGCUGGCGGCAGGCUUAACACAUGCAAGUCGAGCGCCCCGCAAGGGGAGCGGCAGACGGGUGAGUAACGCGUGGGAAUCUACCCAUCACUACGGAACAACUCCGGGAAACUGGAGCUAAUACCGUAUACGUCCUUCGGGAGAAAGAUUUAUCGGUGAUGGAUGAGCCCGCGUUGGAUUAGCUAGUUGGUGGGGUAAUGGCCUACCAAGGCGACGAUCCAUAGCUGGUCUGAGAGGAUGAUCAGCCACACUGGGACUGAGACACGGCCCAGACUCCUACGGGAGGCAGCAGUGGGGAAUAUUGGACAAUGGGCGAAAGCCUGAUCCAGCCAUGCCGCGUGAGUGAUGAAGGCCCUAGGGUUGUAAAGCUCUUUCACCGGUGAAGAUAAUGACGGUAACCGGAGAAGAAGCCCCGGCUAACUUCGUGCCAGCCGCCGCCGUAAUAC
rnacentral:rRNA from 1 species